CCCAGAAGCAGCUCCUGGCUCCUGGCUUCGGAUCGGCACAGCUCCGGUUAUUGCGACCAUCUGGGGAGUGACCUCUCUCAUGUCACUUUUCUCAUGCCAGAGCACUGGAUGACCUCUCCAGAUUCUUUACUGUCAAGUCUGUCAUCUGUGUCUGAUGAGUAGUGAGUUCAUGUAUGUUCACAUAUGAAGUGGCUACGACCGGAAAGAAUAAUCCAGCCCCCUAAUAUGAAAGGAAUUCUAAGAAGAAGUCAUUUUGCCAAGGAUCCCUCCCAUGGAGGCAACCUGCAUUGCCUGUUUCUAGCACAGCAUUUUUGGAGUAUCUAAGGCAUUUAUAGACAUACAUUUAAAUAAAUAUAUUUCUCCCUUUUAUACACCAAUGUAUCUAUUCUCCACUUCAUUUAAUAUAUCUGUGAUAUCAUUCCAUGUAAAUAUACCAAGGGUUCCCUCCCAUCUCCUUUUGACUGUGGCUUUGCAGAUACAUGUAUUCCCUAACCUGCUCUUAGGUAGUGUUUUUGUUUCUGGAACUCUAUAUGGAGUCUUUUCUAUCUCAAGAACUCUGUUUCAGUCAAAGGACAAUCAUUAGGGGACCUCAGGAGUUGUAAGUGAUUUGUGUUUGUUGCUGGGUUAAAUCAUGUUUGUUUUCUUGUACACAGCCACACCUUCAAAGUGCCUUUGUUUGCUCUGGGAGAUCACAGGGAGCAGGGAAGCAGAGUCUGUACUGCAGCACAAAGGGAAAGAAGGUUCCUGGAGAAAGCGUCCAGGAUUUAGUGGAUGUUCCCUUCCUCACAGUUGCAAGAUGGUGGCUGUCUCUCCAAACUGUGAGUUCUUUGAGAAAGAAGGAUGGGGAAAGAUAAAGAGCAAAAGACCAAAGGAUGAAAGGAGCUUGCUGGCUCAGUGUGGUGCCUUUUUUGGUUAAUGAUAAUUUUUUUUUAAAGAGAAUAUUUUUGUUUGAAAGGGUGAUGGGGAGAAGGGAGGAGAGAAAGGAGAGACCAAGAUCUUCCAUCUAUUGGUUCACUCCUCACCUCCUUGCAACAGCCAGGUCUGGGUCAGGCCCUAGCCAGGAGCCCAGAACUCCUUCCAGGUCUCCAUCAUGCAUGGCAAGGACUCAAGUGUUUAGCCCAUCGCUUGCUGCCUCUUAGGGUGUGCAUUAGCAGGAAGCUGUAUUGGAAGUGGAGGUGCCAGGACUUGAACCAGCAGUUAAGAGAUAAGAGAUGCCAGUGAUUCAAGUGACAACUUUACCUGCUGUGCUACAAUACCCACCUCUAACUGCCAUUUUUAAAAAUUUUAUUUGAAAGGCAGAGAGAGAGUGGGUAAGAGAGAGUGUGUGCUCUGGUCCACUGGUUCACUGUCUCCACCCCACUCCACCCAUGGCUGCAACUCCAGGGCUGCACCAGGCUGAAGCCAGGAGAUGCGAACUCAUUAUAGGUAUCCCACACAGAUUGCAGGAGCCCAGUUACUUGGAUUUUUUAAAAUUUUUUUAAACUUUUAUUUAAUGAAUAUAAAUUUCCAAAGUACAGAUUAUGGAUUACAAUGGCUUCCCCCCCAUAACGUCCCUCCAACCCGCA
ensembl:lncRNA